GUGCUUGCUUUGGCAGCACAUAUACUAAAAUUGGAUCGAUACAGAGAAGAUUAGCAUGGCCCCUGCGAAAGGAUGACACGCAAAU
rnacentral:snRNA from 8 species